rnacentral:rRNA from 1 species
UACAGAGGGCUCAAGCGUUGUUCGGAUUCAUUGGGCGUAAAGGGCGCGUAGGCGGCGCGGUAAGUCGGGUGUGAAAUCUCGGAGCUUAACUCCGAAACUGCAUUCGAUACUGCCGGGCUUGAGGACUGGAGAGGAGACUGGAAUUUACGGUGUAGCGGUGAAAUGCGUAGAUAUCGUAAGGAAGACCAGUGGCGAAGGCGGGUCUCUGGACAGUUCCUGACGCUGAGGCACGAAGGUCAGGGGAGCAAACGGG